UCAUAAACUUCAUAAACUUGU
rnacentral:piRNA from 1 species